AACGAACGCUGGCGGCAUGCCUAACACAUGCAAGUCGAACGAAGUCUUCGGACUUAGUGGCGCACGGGUGCGUAACGCGUGGGAAUUUGCCCUUGGGUACGGAAUAACUCAGAGAAAUUUGUGCUAAUACCGUAUAAUGUCUUCGGACCAAAGAUUUAUCGCCCAAGGAUGAGCCCGCGUAAGAUUAGCUAGUUGGUGGGGUAAAAGCCUACCAAGGCGACGAUCUUUAGCUGGUCUGAGAGGAUGAUCAGCCACACUGGGACUGAGACACGGCCCAGACUCCUACGGGAGGCAGCAGUGGGGAAUAUUGGACAAUGGGCGAAAGCCUGAUCCAGCAAUGCCGCGUGAGUGAUGAAGGCCCUAGGGUUGUAAAGCUCUUUUACCAGGGAUGAUAAUGACAGUACCUGGAGAAUAAGCUCCGGCUAACUCCGUG
rnacentral:rRNA from 1 species